rnacentral:rRNA from 1 species
UACGUAGGGGGCGAGCGUUGUCCGGAUUUAUUGGGCGUAAAGAGCGUGUAGGCGGCCAAGCAGGUCCGUUGUGAAAACUGGAGGCUUAACCUCCAGACGUCGACGGAAACCGCGUGGCUAGAGUCCGGAAGAGGAGAGUGGAAUUCCUGGUGUAGCGGUGAAAUGCGCAGAUAUCAGGAAGAACACCAAUGGCGAAGGCAGCUCUCUGGGACGGUACUGACGCUGAGACGCGAAAGCGUGGGGAGCGAACAGG